rnacentral:rRNA from 1 species
CGUCUAUAUACGUAUAGCAUAUCAAUAAGCGGAGGAAAAGAAACUAACAAGGAUUCCCUUAGUAACGGCGAGUGAAGCGGGAAGAGCUCAAAUUUGAAAUCUUCAAGGUUCUACCUUGACGAAUUGUAGUUUAAAGAAGUGUUUUCUGUUAGAGGAGUAGGCAAAAGUUCCUUGGAAUAGGACAUCAUAGAGGGUGAGAAUCCCGUAUUUGGUUAUUCUUUCUAGCUGUGUGAUACACUUUCAAAGAGUCGGAUUGUUUGGGAAUGCAGUCCAAAAUGGGUGGUAAAUUUCAUCUAAAGCUAAAUAUUGGCGAGAGACCGAUAGCGAACAAGUACCGUGAGGGAAAGAUGAAAAGAACUUUGAAAAGAGAGUUAAACAGUACGUGAAAUUGUCAAAAGGGAAGCGUUUGACACCAGUGUUGUUUUUCCGAAAAUCAAUUAAGAAGUGGCUUGAUUUUGUGUUGUAUUGACCUUAUCAGCUUUCUUCACUCUUUUUCGAGUCUUUCUUAAUGCACUUUUCGGUUAACAAGUCAACAUCAAUUUCUUUUGUUGUAAAAGGGUAUUUGGAAGGUGGCUUUCUUUUCGGAGAAAGUGUUUAUAGCCUUAUACCUCUACAAUCGGAGAGAUUGAGGUCUGCAGCGUAGAUCCUUCGGGGCUAGAUACACUUGUGCUAAGUUAUAGCUUUUCAUAGACAACUUGUUGACUAUGUUUAGUCAUGUAGCUUACUCCGCUUAUGCUAUUUUACCUACGCUUAGGAUGUUGAGUCAUCACACAUCUCU